rnacentral:rRNA from 1 species
GACGAACGCUGGCGGCGUGCUUAACACAUGCAAGUCGAACGGAAAGGCCCUGCUUUUGUGGGGUGCUCGAGUGGCGAACGGGUGAGUAACACGUGAGUAACCUGCCCUUGACUUUGGGAUAACUUCAGGAAACUGGGGCUAAUACCGGAUAGGAGCUCCUGCUGCAUGGUGGGGGUUGGAAAGUUUCGGCGGUUGGGGAUGGACUCGCGGCUUAUCAGCUUGUUGGUGGGGUAGUGGCUUACCAAGGCUUUGACGGGUAGCCGGCCUGAGAGGGUGACCGGCCACAUUGGGGCUUAGGUACCGCCCCGGCUCCUACGGGGGGCAGCAGUGGGGAAUUUUGCACCAUGGGCGGAAGCCUGAUGCAGCCACGCCGCGUGCGGGAUGACGGCCUUCGGGUUGUAAACCGCUUUCGCCUGUGACGAAGCGUGAGUGACGGUAAUGGGUAAAGAAGCACCGGCUAACUACGUG